AACGCGAAGAACCUUACCUAGGCUCGAACGCCAAGUGACAGCCCCUGAAAGGGGGCCUCCUUCGGGCACUUGGCGAGGUGCUGCAUGGCUGUCGUCAGUUCGUGUCGUGAGAUGUUGGGUUAAGUCCCGCAACGAGCGCAACCCUCGUCCCAUGUUGCCAGCAAUUCGGUUGGGGACUCACGGGAGACCGCCGGGGUCAACUCGGAGGAAGGUGGGGAUGACGUCAAGUCAUCAUGCCCCUUAUGUCCAGGGCUUCACGCAUGCUACAAUGGCCGGUACAAUGGGCUGCGAUACCGUGAGGUGGAGCGAAUCCCAAAAAGCCGGUCUCAGUUCGGAUUGGGGUCUGCAACUCGACCCCAUGAAGUCGGAGUCGCUAGUAAUCGCAGAUCAGCAACGCUGCGGUGAAUACGUUCCCGGGCCUUGUACACACCG
rnacentral:rRNA from 1 species